GGUCCAGUAGCGCAAUGGUUAGCGUGCCACUCGCAUGUAGCUUCUGCUAACAUGUCUGUUGUGGAGGUCCUUGUUCGAUUCGAGGCUAGACCG